rnacentral:rRNA from 1 species
AUUGGACGCUGGCGGCAGGCUUAACACAUGCAAGUCGAGCGGGGUGAUGGUGCUUGCACUAUCACUUAGCGGCGGACGGGUGAGUAAUGCUUAGGAAUCUGCCUAUUAGUGGGGGACAACAUCUCGAAAGGGAUGCUAAUACCGCAUACGUCCUACGGGAGAAAGCCGGGGAUCACUUGUGACAUUGCGCUAAUAGAUGAGCCUAAGUCGGAUUAGCUAGUUGGUGGGGUAAAGGCCUACCAAGGCGACGAUCUGUAGCGGGUCUGAGAGGAUGACCCGCCACACUGGGACUGAGACACGGCCCAGACUCCUACGGGAGGCAGCAGUGGGGAAUAUUGGACAAUGGGGGGAACCCUGAUCCAGCCAUGCCGCGUGUGUGAAGAAGGCCUUAUGGUUGUAAAGCACUUUAAGCGAGGAGGAGGCUCUUUUGGUUAAUACCCAAGAUGAGUGGACGUUACUCGCAGAAUAAGCACCGGCUAACUCUGUGCCAGCAGCCGCCGUAA